UACGAAGGUGGCAAGCGUUGUUCGGAUUUACUGGGCGUAAAGAGCGCGUAGGCGGAAUGGUAAGCGGGGCCGGAAAGCCCCCGGCUCAACCGGGGAAGGGGCCGCGAACUGCCAUUCUUGAGGGGGAGAGGGGAGAGCGGAAUUCCUGGUGUAGCGGUGAAAUGCGUAGAGAUCAGGAGGAACACCAAUGGCGAAGGCAGCUCUCUGGCUUCACCCUGACGCUGAGGCGCGAAAGCGUGGGGAGCGAACGGG
rnacentral:rRNA from 1 species